UUAACACAUGCAAGUCGAGGGGCAGCGGGGGUAGCAAUACCCGCCGGCGACCGGCGCACGGGUGAGUAACGCGUAUGCAACUUACCUAUCAGAGGGGGAUAACCCGGCGAAAGUCGGACUAAUACCGCAUGAAGCAGGGAUCCCGCAUGGGAAUAUUUGCUAAAGAUUCAUCGCUGAUAGAUAGGCAUGCGUUCCAUUAGGCAGUUGGCGGGGUAACGGCCCACCAAACCGACGAUGGAUAGGGGUUCUGAGAGGAAGGUCCCCCACAUUGGUACUGAGACACGGACCAAACUCCUACGGGAGGCAGCAGUGAGGAAUAUUGGUCAAUGGCCGAGAGGCUGAACCAGCCAAGUCGCGUGAGGGAUGAAGGUUCUAUGGAUCGUAAACCUCUUUUAUAAGGGAAUAAAGUGCGGGACGUGUCCCGUUUUGUAUGUACCUUAUGAAUAAGGAUCGGCUAACCCCGUGCCAGCAGCCGCGGUAAUACGGAGGAUCCGAGCGUUAUCCGGAUUUAUUGGGUUUAAAGGGUGCGUAGGCGGCCUUUUAAGUCAGCGGUGAAAGUCUGUGGCUCACCAUAGAAAUUGCCGUGAAAACUGGGGGGCUUGAGUAUGUUUGAGGCAGGCGGAAUGCGUGGUGUAGCGGUGAAAUGCAUAGAUAUCACGCAGAACCCCGAUUGCGAAGGCAGCCUGCCAAGCCAUGACUGACGCUGAUGCACGAAAGCGUGGGGAUCAAACAGGAUUAGAUACCCUGGUAGUCCACGCAGUAAACGAUGAUCACUAGCUGUUUGCGAUACACUGUAAGCGGCACAGCGAAAGCGUUAAGUGAUCCACCUGGGGAGUACGCCGGCAACGGUGAAACUCAAAGGAAUUGACGGGGGCCCGCACAAGCGGAGGAACAUGUGGUUUAAUUCGAUGAUACGCGAGGAACCUUACCCGGGUUUGAACGCAUUCGGACCGAGGUGGAAACACCUUUUCUAGCAAUAGCCGUUUGCGAGGUGCUGCAUGGUUGUCGUCAGCUCGUGCCGUGAGGUGUCGGCUUAAGUGCCAUAACGAGCGCAACCCUUGCCACUAGUUACUAACAGGUAAAGCUGAGGACUCUGGUGGGACUGCCAGCGUAAGCUGCGAGGAAGGCGGGGAUGACGUCAAAUCAGCACGGCCCUUACAUCCGGGGCGACACACGUGUUACAAUGGCGUGGACAAAGGGAAGCCACCUGGCGACAGGGAGCGAAUCCCCAAACCACGUCUCAGUUCGGAUCGGAGUCUGCAACCCGACUCCGUGAAGCUGGAUUCGCUAGUAAUCGCGCAUCAGCCAUGGCGCGGUGAAUACGUUCCCGGGCCUUGUACACACCGCCCGUCAAGCCAUGGGAGCCGGGGGUACCUGAAGUCCGUAACCGCGAGGAUCGGCCUAGGGUAAAACUGGUGACUGGGGCUAAGUC
rnacentral:rRNA from 1 species